AAAUCAGUUCGGUAGAUAAUUUUUUGGAGUGCAGCUUGUGAAAAUGAAAAUUUUGUUGAUUUUAGUAGUUGCCUUGUGUGCUAUUUGCCACGCCCUUCCAGAUGAUAUAAAUAAAGUAAAACGUCCGGUUCCUCGCACAGCGGAUUAUGACCCAGAACUGUCGAAUAGGGGUGUUUAUUGGAAAUAAAUAUAAAACUACAAAAUAAUUAUUCUUAAA